UCCAACUGUUCGCAGAGGGGGACGCCGAAGGCAGGGCUGAUGACUAGGGUGAAGUCGUAACAAGGUAGCCGUACCGGAAGGUGUGGCUGGAUCACCUCCUUUUAGGGAGACCUCCCACUCUGACCUGAAAGCAAAGAGUAAAUAGGGACAGAGCUGGUCAACCCAAGGUCGGUCAGGGAAUUAGCGCAGGCUUUCAAACUAAUCUAGGUUUGGUUCAUGGGCU
rnacentral:misc_RNA from 1 species